rnacentral:tmRNA from 1 species
GGGGACGUUACGGAUUCGACAGGGAUAGUUUGAGCUUAGGUUGCGAGUCGAGGGGAUCGGCCUCGUCAAAACGUCAACGCCAAUAAUAACUGGCAAAGAAAACAAUAACUUCGCACUAGCUGCCUAAUUAAGGCCUAAUGCGGUUCCUCCCUCCAUCGCCCAUGUGGUAGGGUAAGGGACUCACUCUUAGUGGGAUACGCCGGAAGCUCUCCGCCUGGGGGCCAAGGAAGAGAUGAAUCAGGCUAGCACUUUGGAAGCCUGUCGAUAGGCUGAAGAAGUUGCGAGAAACAAUAAUAUAUCGACUACACUCGUAGACGCUUAAGUGGCGAUAUUUCUGGACGAGGGUUCGACUCCCUCCGUCUCCACCA